rnacentral:rRNA from 1 species
UACGGAGGGUGCGAGCGUUGUCCGGAAUCACUGGGCGUAAAGGGCGCGUAGGCGGUCUGCUAAGCGUGUGGUGAAAGCUCGGGGCUCAACCCCGAGUCGGCCAUGCGAACUGGUGGACUUGAGCACUGUAGAGGCAGGUGGAAUUCCGGGUGUAGCGGUGGAAUGCGUAGAGAUCCGGAAGAACACCGGUGGCGAAGGCGGCCUGCUGGGCAGUAGCUGACGCUGAGGCGCGAUAGCGUGGGGAGCAAACAGGAUUAGAUACCCUGGUAGUCCACGCCGUAAACGAUGGGUACUAGGUGCUUGGGGGAGCGACCCCCCGAGUGCCGGCGCUAACGCAUUAAGUACCCCGCCUGGGGAGUACGACCGCAAGGUUG